AUCGGGGGGGGCAGGUGUUACUCUUAGGGAUUGGGCGUAAAGGGCAAGUAGGUGGUUCUUAGAACUUAGAUGAAAUGCUCGGGAGAAGCCCCAGCCUAUUUAAGUUUUUGAAACUAGGGACUUUGAGUUUUGUAAGGAGUGGCCGCACUUUCCGUUUAGGGGUUAAAUCCAGUGACACUGAAAGGACGCGCGAAGGUGAAAACAGCCACUACGUAAAAACUGACGCUGAGAGGCUAAAGCGUGGG
rnacentral:rRNA from 1 species